rnacentral:rRNA from 1 species
UACGAAGGGGGCUAGCGUUGUUCGGAAUUACUGGGCGUAAAGCGCACGUAGGCGGGCUUGUAAGUAGGAGGUGAAAUCCCAAGGCUCAACCUUGGAAUUGCCUUCUAGACUGCGAGUCUGGAGGUCAGGAGAGGCGAGUGGAAUACCGAGUGUAGAGGUGAAAUUCGUAGAUAUUCGGUGGAACACCAGUGGCGAAGGCGACUCGCUGGACUGAUACUGACGCUGAGGUGCGAAAGCGUGGGGAGCAAACAGG